rnacentral:rRNA from 1 species
UACAGAGGGUGCAAGCGUUAAUCGGAGUUACUGGGCGUAAAGGGCGCGUAGGUGGUUAUUUAAGUUUGAUGUGAAAUCCCUGGGCUUAACCUAGGAACUGCAUUGAAUACUGAGUAACUUGAGUACUGUAGAGGGUAGUGGAAUUUCCGGUGUAGCGGUGAAAUGCGUAGAGAUCGGAAGGAACACCAGUGGCGAAGGCGGCUACCUGGACAGAUACUGACACUGAGGCGCGAAAGCGUGGGGAUCAAACAGG